rnacentral:rRNA from 1 species
UACGUGGGGUGCAAGCGUUGUCCGGAAUUAUUGGGCGUAAAGAGCUCGUAGGCGGUUUGUUGCGUCGGCUGUGAAAUCCCGAGGCUCAACCUCGGGUCUGCAGUGGGUACGGGCAGACUAGAGUGCGGUAGGGGAGACUGGGAUUCCUGGUGUAGCGGUGAAAUGCGCAGAUAUCAGGAGGAACACCGGUGGCGAAGGCGGGUCUCUGGGCCGUAACUGACGCUGAGACGCGAAAGCGUGGGGAGCAAACAGG